CAGCCGCCGCGGGAAUACGUAGGUGGCAAGCGUUGUCCGGAAUUAUUGGGCGUAAAGGGCUCGCAGGCGGUUUCUUAAGUCUGAUGUGAAAGCCCCCGGCUCAACCGGGGAGGGUCAUUGGAAACUGGGAAACUUGAGUGCAGAAGAGGAGAGUGGAAUUCCACGUGUAGCGGUGAAAUGCGUAGAGAUGUGGAGGAACACCAGUGGCGAAGGCGACUCUCUGGUCUGUAACUGACGCUGAGAAGCGAAAGCGUGGGGAGCGAACAGGAUUAGAUACCCCUGUAGUCCCUGUCUCUUAUAC
rnacentral:rRNA from 1 species